rnacentral:lncRNA from 1 species
AUGCCUGGCAGCGACUUCUCGCUUCGCCCUCAGCCUCCCCCAUCGACCCUCUCUGGCCGACCUUUACGCCCAACUCGGGCGCGCUGCGAGCCUCGCGUCCUAGCCGUCCACGCGGGGCCCCACCCCUUCCCGGUUCCUGCCCGCGAUCGGGUCGGAGGCGAGGUGAAUGGGAAGAUGGAGAUGGAUGUUGAGGGAGUUUCUCCGCGCCCGGAGCCCAUCCCCCGCUCCCAGGGGGCUGGCGGAGCCUGCCAGGCGCCGCCACAGCCGCCCCAGCCCCAGCCCCAGCCCCCGCCGCAGCCGCCGCAGCAACAGCAGCAGCAGCAGCAGCAGCAGCAGCAGCAGCAGCAGCAGCUGGCUCAGGAUGAAGUGCCCGGCGAGAGUGCUGGCGUGGAGGACAGCGACGAUCCCGAGGCGAGACCCAACAGCGAGAAAGGAGAGAGCAAGGACCUCAAACCUGAGAGACGUCAGCGUUUCCUCGAAUACUGGUUACACUGCACUGCUGUCUCAGGUGCCAGAACUUUCAACCUUAUUUCAAGGCCCACUUCAGUCUGCCAGGUUCAUGGUGGCAUCCUGUUCCUUUGAACUCAUACUACUUCCUGAUCAAACAACUCUUAUGUAA